rnacentral:rRNA from 1 species
GAUGAACGCUGGCGGCGUGCCUAAUACAUGCAAGUCGAGCGCAGCGGUGACGGUUGCGUAACACGUUGAUACCCUCCUAUACGACUCGCCUAGCUUCGUGAAACCGGCGCAAAACCGGAUACUCAUCGCUGGAUCAGCGCUGUAGUAGCUAGUUGGUAAGGUAACGGCUUACCAAGGCCACGAUGCAUCGCCGACCUGAGAGGGUGAUCGGCCACACUGGAACUGAGAAACGGGCCAGAAUCCUACGGGAGGCAGCAGUAGGGAAUCGUCCGCAAUGGGCGAAAGCCUGACGGAGCAACGCCGCGUGAGUGAUGAAGGUUUUCGGAUCGUAAAACUCUGUUAUUAGGGAAGCGGUACCUAAUCAGAAAGCCACGGCUAACUACGUGCCAGCAGCCGCGGUAAUAC